rnacentral:tRNA from 1 species
GAGGAUAUAGCUCAAGUAGUAGAGCAUAUGCCUUGCAUGCAUAAGAUCAUGAGUUCAAUCCCCAGUACCUCCU